rnacentral:sRNA from 1 species
UAGUCAGGUUCCUGAGUCUGAGGCGAUGC